UACAGAGGUCUCAAGCGUUGUUCGGAUUCAUUGGGCGUAAAGGGUGCGUAGGUGGCGCUGUAAGUCGGGUGUGAAAUUUCGGAGCUUAACUCCGAAACUGCAUUCGAUACUGCGGUGCUUGAGGACUGGAGAGGAGACUGGAAUUCAUGGUGUAGCAGUGAAAUGCGUAGAGACCAUGAGGAAGACCAGUGGCGAAGGCGGGUCUCUGGACAGUUCCUGACGCUGAGGCACGAAGGUCAGGGGAGCAAACGGG
rnacentral:rRNA from 1 species